rnacentral:rRNA from 1 species
UUGAACGCUGGCGGCAGGCCUAACACAUGCAAGUCGAGCGCGAAAGGUUUUCGGACUGAGUAAAGCGGCGGACGGGUGAGUAACGCGUGGGAAUCUGCCCAGUCGUGGGGGACAACAGUCGGAAACGACUGCUAAUACCGCAUACGCCCUACGGGGGAAAGGGGGGGAUCUUCAGACCUCUCGCUAUUGGAUGAGCCCGCGUCGGAUUAGCUAGUUGGUAGGGUAAAGGCCUACCAAGGCUACGAUCCGUAACUGGUCUGAGAGGAUGAUCAGUCACACUGGAACUGAGACACGGUCCAGACUCCUACGGGAGGCAGCAGUGGGGAAUAUUGGACAAUGGGGGCAACCCUGAUCCAGCCAUGCCGCGUGUGUGAAGAAGGCCUUAGGGUUGUAAAGCACUUUCAGUGGGGAGAAAGGUUUGUCACCUAAUACGUGAUGAAAUUGAUGUUACCCACAGAAGAGGCACCGGCUAACUCCGUGCCAGCAGCCGCAGUAA